rnacentral:rRNA from 1 species
GAUGAACGCUGGCGGCGUGCCUAAUACAUGCAAGUCGAGCGAACGGACGAGAAGCUUGCUUCUCUGAUGUUAGCGGCGGACGGGUGAGUAACACGUGGAUAACCUACCUAUAAGACUGGGAUAACUUCGGGAAACCGGAGCUAAUACCGGAUGAUAUUUUGAACCGCAUGGUUCAAAAGUGAAAGACGGUCUUGCUGUCACUUAUAGAUGGAUCCGCGCUGCAUUAGCUAGUUGGUAAGGUAACGGCUUACCAAGGCAACGAUGCAUAGCCGACCUGAGAGGAUGAUCAGCCACACUGGAACUGAGACACGGUCCAGACUCCUACGGGAGGCAGCAGUAGGGAAUCUUCCGCAAUGGGCGAAAGCCUGACGGAGCAACGCCGCGUGAGUGAUGAAGGUCUUCGGAUCGUAAAACUCUGUUAUUAGGGAAGAACACAUGUGUAAGUAACUGUGCACAUCUUGACGGUACCUAAUCAGAAAGCCACGGCUAACUACGUG